AAUUAUAUAUUCACUUAUGAUUUUAAAUUGCAAAUUUAAAGGUAUACAUUUAUUUUGUAUUAUAAUUU
rnacentral:tRNA from 1 species